rnacentral:rRNA from 1 species
UCCGGUUGAUCCUGGCGGAGGCCACUGCUAUCGGAGUUCGAUUAAGCCAUGCGAGUCGAGAGGUGAAAGACCUCGGCAUACUGCUCAGUAACACGUGGACAAUCUAACCUACGGAGGGGGAUAACCCCGGGAAACUGGGGAUAAUACCCCAUAGACUAUGGAUGCCGGAAUGCUUUGUAGUCGAAAGGUCCGCCGCCGUAGGAUGGGUCUGCGGCCGAUUAGGUUGUUGUUGGGGUAACGGCCCAACAAGCCUGUAAUCGGUACGGGUUGUGGGAGCAAGAGCCCGGAGAUGGAUUCUGAGACACGAAUCCAGGCCCUACGGGGCGCAGCAGGCGCGAAAACUUUACAAUGCGGGAAACCGUGAUAGGGGAACUCCGAGUGCCCGUUAAAUCGGGCUGUCCAUCUGUUUAAAUAACAGGUGAAGAAAGGGCCGGGCAAGACCGGUGCCAGCCGCCGCGGUAAUACCGGCGGCUCGAGUGGUGGCCACUAUUACUGGGCUUAAAGCGUUCGUAGCUGGUUUGUUAAGUCUCUGGGGAAAUCUUCCGGCUUAACCGGAAGGCGUCUCAGGGAUACUGGCAGACUAGGGACCGGGAGAGGUGAGGGGUACUCCAGGGGUAGGAGUGAAAUCCUGUAAUCCUUGGGGGACCACCUGUGGCGAAGGCGCCUCACCAGAACGGCUCCGACAGUGAGGGACGAAAGCUGGGGGAGCAAACCGGAUUAGAUACCCGGGUAGUCCCAGCUGUAAACGAUGCGCGUUAGGUGUAUCGGUGACCACGAGUCACCGAGGUGCCGAAGAGAAAUCGUGAAACGUGCCGCCUGGGAAGUACGGUCGCAAGGCUGAAACUUAAAGGAAUUGGCGGGGGAGCACCACAACGGGUGGAGCCUGCGGUUUAAUCGGACUCAACGCCGGGAAACUCACCAGUUAAGACAGCUGAAUGAUGGUCGGGCUGAAGACUCUACCUGACUAGCUGAGAGGAGGUGCAUGGCCGUCGUCAGUUCGUACUGUGAAGCAUCCUGUUAAGUCAGGCAACGAGCGAGACCCA